UUGACCUCGGAUCAGGUAGGGAUACCCGCUGAACUUAAGCAUAUCAAUAAGCGGAGGAAAAGAAACCAACAGGGAUUGCUCUAGUAACGGCGAGUGAAGCAGCAAUAGCUCAAAUUUGAAAUCUGGCGUCUUCGACGUCCGAGUUGUAAUUUGUAGAGGAUGCUUCUGAGUAACCACCGACCUAAGUUCCUUGGAACAGGACGUCAUAGAGGGUGAGAAUCCCGUAUGCGGUCGGAAAGGUGCUCUAUACGUAGCUCCUUCGACGAGUCGAGUUGUUUGGGAAUGCAGCUCUAAAUGGGAGGUAAAUUUCUUCUAAAGCUAAAUAUUGGCCAGAGACCGAUAGCGCACAAGUAGAGUGAUCGAAAGAUGAAAAGCACUUUGGAAAGAGAGUUAAAAAGCACGUGAAAUUGUUAAAAGGGAAGGGAUUGCAACCAGACUUGCUCGCGGUGUUCCGCCGGUCUUCUGACCGGUCUACUCGCCGCGUUGCAGGCCAGCAUCGUCUGGUGCCGCUGGAUAAGACUUGAGGAAUGUAGCUCCCUCGGGAGUGUUAUAGCCUCUUGUGAUGCAGCGAGCGCCGGGCGAGGUCCGC
rnacentral:rRNA from 1 species